GGCCCUGUAGCUCAGUGGUAGAGUGCUUGCCUAGCAUGUGUGAGGUCCUGGGUUCAGUACCCAGCAUGGUAG
rnacentral:tRNA from 1 species